CUUAAAUUCAUAAUUCUAAAUGGUAUGUAGGAUUCAUGAUAUUUCAAAGUGAUGGGCCAUACACAUUUUUACAUAAUUGGGGUAACACAAUUCCUUAUACAAUAUGUCCUCAUGAGGUAUUUUUCAUGCACACUGAGAUUCACUUUGGACCAAGGCAUAGAUACAAGGAAACGGGUACGCUGCCACGAACCGCGAUCUAGAUCGUUCGUACCCGAUACGGUCGGAAACGCGAACGGAAACGUUCAGGGUCGCGACCCAGAUCGCCGGAAGUGACGACCCGCAAGAACACACUUCAUUCUUGUUUUGAACAAUAGAUCCAUGUCUAUGUCAUAUGAUAAGUAAUUUAUUUUAUCAAUAAAUGUGUACUUUUAUUUGUUAUUCAAUAUCUUUUUCUUUAUAAAAAAUUAUAAAUGUAUAAAUUAUCAACUAAAAUUGUAUAUUAUAAUGGAAUUUAUAUAUAUGAUUAUAGAAUUCUUUUUAAAAGGACCAAUCGUACCCAUACGUUCCAUCGUACCUAUACGUUCCAUCGUACCAGAUUCACUAAAACUAAUGUUCCACGUACCCGAUUUCGUUCCCCGUUUCGAAUCGAACCCAGUCCUAUGUAACUAUGGACCAAGGUAUCACUCUUUUUAGUUUGUUGUUGGUCCUUGGUGCUAAUGUGAGGCUGUGUUGAUUUGAGAUUUCUUAUGCUGCAGUGCUUUUUUGUUUUAUUAAUUUAGUUCCAACUAAAGAAAAAACGGUGGAGCUUCUCUUUUGUGAUUAUUUUUCCAACAUGGCGUUGGAUUGGAUAUUUCAUAUGCUGCAGAGCUUGUUUGUUUUAUUUAUUUUGUUCCAACUGGGAGAAAAAACAGUGGAGCUUCUCUUUUGUGAUAUUUUUCCAACAUAUUAGAUUUGGCUGUACUCCUUGUUACCUCUCUCUUUGUAUCUUUUUUUUGAGAGGUCACAUAAUUUUUGUUAGUAUAGGUGUGGAGGAAGUGGGUAAUUAAUCCCAUUGCCUUGCCCAUGGGCCAUGGGUAGGGGUGCCUUGUUACUUGGCUAAUUCUAACUUCUUUUCAACACAUUAACCUUUUUAUCAGAGGAUUGGCUUAACACCAAGCUUUCCUGUCCAAAGCUGAUCAUUAUGUAUCAUGUUUUCUUUUCCUUACAG
rnacentral:lncRNA from 1 species